rnacentral:lncRNA from 1 species
AGGUCAUCAUUGCUAGAUGGCUAAAUCGAUUGGUAUAGAAAGUUAUUUCUAUGCUACUGGCUUAGGUUUGAACCUAUGAAAUCAUAUGCAUUAGAAGAUUUGGUCAGAUCUGAUGGCUGAAGAGUCCAAUCGGAUUGUGACUCAAGUGAAGAGUCCUACUUAGAUUAGGACUCUGUGGGAGAGUCUCACUGAGAUUGAGACUCUAUCAUUU